rnacentral:rRNA from 1 species
ACUACUGGAAACGGUAGCUAAUACCGCAUAAUGUCUGCGGACCAAAGCGGGGGACCUCCGGGCCUCGCGCCAUCAGAUGAACCCAUAUGGGAUUAGCUUGUAGGUAAGGUAACGGCUUACCUAGGCGACGAUCCCUAGCUGGUCUGAGAGGAUGAUCAGCCACACUGGGACUGAGACACGGCCCAGACUCCUACGGGAGGCAGCAGUGGGGAAUAUUGCACAAUGGGCGCAAGCCUGAUGCAGCCAUGCCGCGUGUAUGAAGAAGGCCUUCGGGUUGUAAAGUACUUUCAGCGAGGAGGAAAGGUCAGUAGCUAAUAUCUGCUGACUGUGACGUUACUCGCAGAAGAAGCACCGGCUAACUCCGUGCCAGCGGCCGCGGUAAUACGGAGGGUGCAAGCGUUAAUCGGAAUUACUGGGCGUAAAGCGCACGCAGGCGGUUGAUUGAGUCAGAUGUGAAAUCCCCGGGCUUAACCCGGGAAUUGCAUCUGAUACUGGUCAGCUAGAGUCUUGUAGAGGGGGGUAGAAUUCCAUGUGUAGCGGUGAAAUGCGUAGAGAUGUGGAGGAAUACCGGUGGCGAAGGCGGCCCCCUGGACAAAGACUGACGCUCAGGUGCGAAAGCGUGGGGAGCAAACAGGAUUA